UACAGAGGUCCCAAGCGUUGUUCGGAUUCACUGGGCGUAAAGGGUGCGUAGGUGGUGAGGUAAGUUUGAUGUGAAAGCUCCGAGCUCAACUCGGAAAUGGCAUUGAAUACUAUCUUGCUAGAGGUUUGGAGGGGGGACUGGAAUUCUCGGUGUAGCAGUGAAAUGCGUAGAUAUCGAGAGGAACACCUGCGGCGAAGGCGGGUUGCUGGGCCGACACUGACGCUGAUGCGCGAAAGCGUGGGGAGCGAACAGG
rnacentral:rRNA from 1 species